rnacentral:rRNA from 1 species
AAUAGAUACCCGGGUAGUCCAUGCUGUAAACGAUGAGAACUAGAUGUUAGGGGGCAUGACCUCUUAGUAUCGAAGCUAACGCGAUAAGUUCUCCGCCUGGGGAGUACGGCCGCAAGGUUAAAACUCAAAGAAAUUGACGGGGGCCCGCACAAGCGGUGGAGCAUGUGGUUUAAUUCGAUGCAACGCGAAGAACCUUACCUACCUUUGAAUCCACGGAACCUAGCAGAGAUGUUGGGGUGCCUUCGGGAACCGUGAGACAGGUGCUGCAUGGCUGUCGUCAGCUCGUGUCGUGAGAUGUUGGGUUAAGUCCCGUAACGAGCGCAACCCUUGUCCUUAGUUGCCAUCAGGUUAUGCUGGGCACUUUAAGGAGACUGCCGGUGAUAAACCGGAGGAAGGUGGGGAUGACGUCAAGUCCUCAUGGCCCUUACAGGUAGGGCUACACACGUGCUACAAUGGGCAGUACAGAGGGAAGCCAACCCGCGAGGGGGGAGCGAAUCUCAUAAAGCUGUUCGUAGUCCGGAUUGGAGUCUGCAACUCGACUCC